rnacentral:rRNA from 1 species
GACGAACGCUGGCGGCGUGCCUAAUACAUGCAAGUCGAGCGGACCAAAGGGAGCUUGCUCCUGGAGGUUAGCGGCGAACGGGUGAGUAACACGUGGGCAACCUGCCUGUAAGACUGGGAUAACAUCGAGAAAUCGGUGCUAAUACCGGAUAAUAAAAAGAACUGCAUGGUUCUUUUUUGAAAGAUGGUUUCGGCUAUCACUUACAGAUGGGCCCGCGGCGCAUUAGCUAGUUGGUGAGGUAACGGCUCACCAAGGCAACGAUGCGUAGCCGACCUGAGAGGGUGAUCGGCCACACUGGGACUGAGACACGGCCCAGACUCCUACGGGAGGCAGCAGUAGGGAAUCUUCCGCAAUGGACGAAAGUCUGACGGAGCAACGCCGCGUGAGUGAUGAAGGUUUUCGGAUCGUAAAACUCUGUUGUUAGGGAAGAACAAGUGCCGUUCGAAAGGGCGGCACCUUGACGGUACCUAACAAGAAAGCCACGGCUAACUACGUGCCAGCAGCCGCGGUAAAGUAC